rnacentral:rRNA from 1 species
UAAGGUGUUUAUAGCAGCAGGGUUCCACCUCUUCCCAUUCCGAACAGAGAAGUUAAGCUUGUCAGCGCCGAUGGUACUGCCAAUGGUGGGAGAGUAGGUCAACGCCAACU